rnacentral:rRNA from 1 species
UACGUAGGGUGCGAGCGUUGUCCGGAAUUACUGGGCGUAAAGAGCUCGUAGGUGGUUUGUCGCGUUGUUCGUGAAAUCUCACGGCUUAACUGUGAGCGUGCGGGCGAUACGGGCAGACUGGAGUACUGCAGGGGAGACUGGAAUUCCUGGUGUAGCGGUGGAAUGCGCAGAUAUCAGGAGGAACACCGGUGGCGAAGGCGGGUCUCUGGGCAGUAACUGACGCUGAGGAGCGAAGGCCAGGGGAGCAAACGGG